AGAGACUCACCUUUCCAUAGUGGGGUCAUGUUAGUGUGUCCUAGAUCAAUACAACCUAUCUCCAGGCUCAAAGCGUCAGUCCACCAGCUGAACUCUCAGUCAGACUGGUGAAUGGGACCACUUCCUGUUCUGGGACAGUGGAAGUCUUCUACAGAGGAGAGUGGACAGUUCUAUGUACUAGGUGGUGGAGCAUGAGAGAGACUAAGGUUGUGUGUAGAGAGCUGGACUGUGGGAAUCCUGUAGCUGCAUCUAGAGGACCUCUGAUUGAAGAUGGAAGAAUAGGAGUCAGAAUAUAUAGUAGCAGAUGCAGGGGAGAUGAGUCUUCUAUUAGACAGUGUGACAUCAUAGAAUUAAGACCUGAUGUCUGUAUUGCUGAAUAUUAUCGUCAUGUGAUCUGUUCAGGUAAGAGACUGGUCAUAUUGAGAGAUUUAUUUGUACAUUAUACAUUAUUACCAUGUAUCAUGUUUUAUGUGUUUUUAUUUUAUUUAAAGAGAGGGAGAGAUGUCAGAUGUAUUUAAACAUUAUAUUUGUGUUUGUCAUAUUGGUUUAUGGGAGAUGUUCAUGGGCAGAUCAUUGUAGUUCAGAUGGUACUGAAGUGAAGCUGCCUGAUGGAUGUCCAGCUGUUUAUUUUCUAUAAAGUGAAGUGAACUUAUUCCUGUCUCCUGCCUGCAUUAUUCCCAACCCGAUCCUGAGUGACUAAGAACCCAUUUCUACCUCUUACAGUAUCAAACAUAGCAAACUACAAUCUUUUAUCCAACAUAUUUGUGUUUAGUCCUUGACAGUGUCAUCAACAAAACUGAUUGAAUGUUGUGGUGUAAAUUCUCUUCAGUAAUGAGGAGAGACCAGCAAAUCACCAAUCAGGAUAUAACUUUGUUCAGAGCUUAUAACAUUGAUUCAUUACUGCAUUAAUGAAGCUUGUCGACGACCCACCAGGUGAUUCGUUAAGAAGCCCUACGAGUGGAUUUAAACGGCUCAGUCGUGAAGUGGUAGACAACACAAGCUCACAGAACGGACCACCGAGUGUUGAACCACGUAGAGCGUAAAAAUAAUCCUCUGUUGUAAAACUCACUGCUGAGUUCCACAUACUUUUGUCCAUGUAUUAUAUCUCCUUCCUGGACUCACAGUGAUCUGCUCAGGAAAUAUCAACAUAUUAUAAUUAUAUUCA